rnacentral:sRNA from 1 species
UAUCAAGGAAGACCGACUAAGAACGCCACGCCUUGUGGCAACGCCGGCAUGACCUGGAUCCACCGGG